rnacentral:rRNA from 1 species
AUUGAACGCUGGCGGCAUGCUUUACACAUGCAAGUCGAACGGUAACAGGCCGCAAGGUGCUGACGAGUGGCGAACGGGUGAGUAAUGCAUCGGAACGUGCCCAGUCGUGGGGGAUAACGCAGCGAAAGCUGUGCUAAUACCGCAUACGAUCUGUGGAUGAAAGCGGGGGACCGAAAGGCCUCGCGCGAUUGGAGCGGCCGAUGUCAGAUUAGGUAGUUGGUGGGGUAAAGGCACACCAAGCCAACGAUCUGUAGCUGGUGUGAGAGGACGACCAGCCACACGGGGACUGAGACACGGCCCAGACUUCGACGGGGGGAGGCAGUGGGAAAUUUUGGACAAUGGGCGCUAGCCUGCUCCAGCAAUGCCGCGUGCAGGAAGAAGGCCUUCGGGUUGUAAACUUCUUAUGUACGGAACGAAAAGGCUCUCUCUAAUACAGGGGGCUCAUGACGGUACCGUAAGAAUAAGCACCGGCUAACUACGUGCCAGCAGCCGCAGUAACAC